ACUAGUGCUCACCCCCAAAGCCAUCGUGGCCGGGCCCCAUGAUCCCCGCCUCCCGCCCUUGAAACUCCUCCGCUUGAACCAGCCCCCAAGCUGGCGGAGGCGAUCGAACGCCUGCUCAAGGAAGGGGGCGGCACCAGAGGCGCGCGGUGGCGGAGGGAGCUCUUGGAGGUAUUCUGCGGGGAGGUGCACUUUGAAGGGCUUAGUACAAAGCAACUAAUGGCUUGCGUGUGUUGUGUCUCACUGGUUGUUUCAGUAUAGCUCCGGUAGUGUUACUCAUCUGAAUGCCACUAUUUUUGAGGUGUUAGUUACUGUAUUUUGUUUACUGACAUUCACCUUCCUGCAUAUAACCUCAAAUCUAUGGAUCUGAUGGCCUUAACCUGUGGUUCCUAGCCCUCCCUGCUGUGGCAGUAAAGAAGAUUGACCGUGGCAUGUUUUCCAGCAAGACCAUGAAUUGCAGUCAAUUUGAGGCUAGCUACACUGCAACAAGCGGUCAACGAUCCUCAUUCCCUCUCGGUUCCCGGCGUCGCGCUCAGCCAUGAGGAUGACAAAGAGUUCCAAGACAGCAAAGCUGAGGAGGAAGCCGAGGAUGGUUACGGCGGUGAUGUUCCCGGAGUCGAUGGCGCCGUAGGAUGUCACCAAGAGCACGCAGCCGACGCACAAGAUUAGCACCAUGCACACCAGCCUGCUGCACUCCCUCGGCUCGGCGGCCAUCAUCGUCUCCUCCUCCUCGUCGUGGUGCCCAGGGUUCUCCACGUCGGCCAUGAUCCUCUCUUUUUUUUGGCAGCGCUAGUCUAGAGUGCCUCCCGUCCCGGACGGGAUUUGUAGAAGAAGAUUAAUUGUUUUGUUCCAGCUCUAGCUAGUCCC